rnacentral:sRNA from 1 species
AGCUUGAUGACUAUAAUGGGCCCAAUUGUCUGCGGGCUGCGGGGAGCUGAGUCCCCAGAUUGGAGGAGGCUGGCUGUGGUCUUCGAUGCACAGGAGUGGCCGUUAUGGAACGCAGGAGCUGUGCUUGCUUAUAAUGAACUGUCAUGAUGGAGGCCGGCCCAUUUCAGCUCUCUCAGCCCCGUCAAGCUGAACUCACUUCCCCUGAAAGGACAGUGUUUGCAUUUGUGUUUACGGGACUGGGGAAGAGGAUGCGUUUUCAGGAGACCUGAAAACCGAGCCAACCCCCUUUUCCUGCCCCCCUGUGCUGCGAUUGGCCCAUCUUGGAGGCUGGCUGCAGGAGCCUUUAGUCAUCGCACAGGGAAAUCUUUCUGGAACCGGGCACCAACUUGCGUGUUUGUUUUCAUGCUCUUUGUGCGGGGAUUAGCUGUCGUGCCGGGCCUGAAAAUGCUGCGAGCGCCCGGCGACAUCUAAUCCAGGAUUUGCCUCUGCCUCGCGGUUGAUGGAAAACAGAUGUCUCACUGCUCUGGGCCUGAGCACAGAAU